CACACCGCCAGAGAGCAAGGUUUGGUAGCGUCUCCCACCUCUCACAGAACACACUGGGCAGCCGCAGAUACACCGCUUCCCACGGAUUAAAACAAGCACAACACUUGGGAGGGAGAAGCCAUGGGGUCCAGAAGCGGGAUUACAUCAUGGAACGCCAGACAGCGAGACGUACACCUACCGCUCCUAGACAAACUUCUCCUCUCCCUACCUGCUUACAACAUCUUGCUUAUCAAUUAAAUAACUAAACUGCACUGUUGAAGGCAUGUUCUGUACUUGUGAUCUCAAGAUCAUAUAUUAUCUACAACCAUGCACACAAACAAACACACACACACACACACACACACACACACACACACACACACACACACACACACACACACACACACACACACACACACACACACACACACACACACACAAAAACAUGACACUAUUCAGAGAUGUGUUUUGUGUAUAGAAGCACAAGGCUUUAUUGUUUAUCAGUCUGCUUAGAAACGAACAAAUCAAUGACAACAAAGAGAGCAUUGACAAAG